GCCGGAGCCGCGAGGGUAGCAGGGGGGCCCCGCCGGGUGGGCGGUGCCAGGCGCCCCCUACCGGGUGCGGGAUGUGCGGCCGGCCGGCCCAUACCAACUGCCCUUUGUGCGUCACGCACGUGGGCCCUACCAAAGCGUUUGGCGGGUGGCCGGGAGGAGGCCGUACCACCGGCUCGGGCGGGGGGGGGCGGGGGGUUUAGUUCCUAAGGCCAAAGGUGUGGGCGUAAAGGAGCAGCGGCCGGACCAGAUGUCCCAGUGUAGGCGGAGGUGGGGUCCGGAGGUGACUCGAACGUUACCACCCGUCGGUCUGGCCCGAGCGUGGGGCCGCUGUCCUCUUCGGCCCUGGGCGCCUCCUCUCCCUGUCGGAGGGUGCCUGGCCUCGGCCCCGCCCUCAAGAUUCUUUUCCCAUAAAGGUUAUUACAGAAUACUGAGUAGUGUUCCCUGUGCCAUACAGUAGGGGACUUUUCCUUAGAAGUGCAGAGAGGAGGUGAGAUCUGAGACUAGUUAGGCCACUGCAGUAACACAGGUGAGAUACUAUGGGAGCUUGGAUCACGAUGGAAGCAGUGAGGUGAUGGAAGUUGAGGGACGUCUUGAUAGUAGGCCAGUAGGAAUUGCUGCUGGAUUAGACAUGAGUGUGAGAAGGAGUGUAAAGUCAAGUGUGACUCCUAGGUUUCUGGCCUGAGCAAUUAGAAAAAUGAGGAGCCACUUGCUGAGAGGUAGAAGGGCGUGGGGAACACAUUCCGGGGGGAGGAUGAGAGCUCAGAUUGCGCCAUGCGAGAUGCCUCUGAGACGUCCUAGAAAUGUCAGCUAGGCGGCUGGAUAUAGGGACCAACGUCCAGGGGAGCAGCUGGGUGGGACGUGUGAAUUUGGGAGUCAUCAGCAUAAAGAUGGUGUUUGAGGCCGUGAUCCUGGAUGAGAUCACUGAGGCAGUGAGUGUGGACAGGGAAGAGAACCUAGGCUGCUCAGAUCAAGAGGUCAGGGAGAUGAGGAGGAAUGACCAGGGAGGUCAGAGGAGAGCCAGGCAAGGGCGUGUCCCGGAGUGGAGGAGGGGGAUGGACUCUGUCAGCGCUGCUGAUUGAGCAGGAGGAAAAGGGCUGAGGACUGCCCAGCCAGUGGAGAACAACAUGGCGUCUCUAAGGACUGACCUUGGCCAGAGCAGUUUCGGGGAAGCAGUGGGAGCAAAAGUCUAACGGGUUCAAGAAAGAGAAGGAGGACAGAAAUUGGAGAGGGUGGGAGAGACACCCGCUUGUCAGCUGACGGGAAUGAUCCAGUGGAGAAGGAAGCAUGGCUGAUGGAGCUGGGGCGGGUGAGGGGGAUGAUCAGCCGCCAGUUAUCAGGGACUACGGCUGGGUCUCGGGAGAGGUCCUCUCGCCCCCCUCCCAGCUGCAAGCCCCCUUAAGUGUUCGAAGGAAAGAGGAGGGUGGUUCUCUCCUGCUGGUGAAGUUACCCAUUUCGUGUGCACGCUCAGCAGCAAAGGGUUUGGAAUAUUCGAAAAACAGGAAAGGCAAGGGGGGCUGCCUCCAGAUACUUUUUUUUGUUAUUCCCUCUGCCUAGAAUGCUCUUCCCCCAGUCCUUCAAAAAGCUGGCUUCUUGCAGUCUGGGCCUCAGCUCGAGACCCGGUCAGAGAGGCCUUCCCUGGUGCUGAGCUAAAGGGGCUCCUCGAUGGCGCUCUCCGAAAGCCUCUCCACUGUGCUGACACUCACCGGGCUCUGACAGUGCCUUCCUUCUCACUUGUGGGCACCGUGCCAACUGUCCCGCACUAGGGUGUGCGCUGCACGAGGUGGGGACUGUGCCUCCAGGCCACCCCCAGCACCAGAGGUAUUCUGGCACAGAGUAGGCCUUCAGUAUAUGUCGUGGGAUGAAUGAAGGAGUCUCUGGUCAGAAGAUGAUAAGGUCUUUCUUGAUACUUUCACAUUUAUCUUGUGGGUCUGGCAUGUAUUCAACUUAUUUUGAUACGUGGUGGGAAAUGAUUUGUCCCCCAAGAGAGGGGCACUGUGAUGAUGUCACCAGGCUGCAGAGCAUGGGGACUCCUCCUUAACCUGGCA